UUUCCCUAGUAACGGCGAGCGAACCGGAAAGAGCCCAGCUUGAAAAUCGGGGUGCAUCCCGCACCCCGAGUUGUAGUCUGGAGAAGCAACUUCUGCAGCGCACCGGACCCAAGUUCCCUGGAACGGGACGUCGGAGAGGGUGAGAACCCCGUCGAGUCCGGACCGUGCUGCUCAAUGAAGUGCUGUCGACGAGUCGGACUGUUUGGGAAUGCAGUCCUAAGUGGGUGGUAAAUUCCAUCCAAGGCUAAAUAUUGGCAAGAGACCGAUAGCGAACAAGUACCGCGAGGGAAAGAUGAAAAGGACUUUGAAAAGAGAGUUAAAAAGUGCUUGAAAUUGCUGGGAGGGAAGCGAAUGGAAGCUGCGGGUGUGCCCCGGCUGGAUGCGGAACGGAUCCUUGGUUCUGGUCCGCCUAUCAGCGCGGGGCACUGGUCAGCGUGGGCCAUGGCGGCGGGACAAGAGCGGGAUGCAAGACCCCAUUCACCUGCCUAUGCCGCCGCGGUGGCCGAGGAACGAAGCAUGCGGGGCAUCUUCUUGCCCCGUGGGUUUGUAGCCCAACUGCAUGCUCGGGACGCUGGCGUAUUGAGCUCUUCAUCCGACCCGUCUUGAAACACGGACCAAGGAGUCUAACAUGUAUGCGAGCCGGUGGGCGGCAAACCCAUUGAGGCGCAAGGAAACUGACAGGUGGGAUCCCUUUUAAUAAGAGAGCACCAUCGACCGACCGUGAUCUUCUGUGAAAGGUUCGAGUGUGAGCAUACCUGUUGGGACCCGAAAGAUGGUGAACUAUGCCUGAGCAGGGCGAAGCCAGAGGAAACUCUGGUGGAGGCUCGUAGCGAUACUGACGUGCAAAUCGUUCGUCAGACUUGGGUAUAGGGGCGAAAGACUAAUCGAACCAUCUAGUAGCUGGUUCCCUCCGAAGUUUCCCUCAGGAUAGCUGGAGCUCGCGAUACUCAGUUUUAUCAGGUAAAGCGAAUGAUUAGAGGCAUCGGGGGUGUAACACCCUCGACCUAUUCUCAAACUUUAAAUAGGUAAGCCGCCGGGGUUGCUUGGUUGAACCCCCGGCACAGAAUGA
rnacentral:rRNA from 1 species